rnacentral:rRNA from 1 species
GGUGACAGGUGGUGCAUGGUUGUCGUCAGCUCGUGUCGUGAGAUGUUGGGUUAAGUCCCGCAACGAGCGCAACCCUUAUUGUUAGUUGCUACGCAAGAGCACUCUAGCGAGACUGCCGUUGACAAAACGGAGGAAGGUGGGGACGACGUCAAAUCAUCAUGCCCCUUAUGUCCUGGGCCACACACGUACUACAAUGGUGGUCAACAGAGGGAAGCAAUACCGCGAGGUGGAGCAAAUCCCUAAAAGCCAUCCCAGUUCGGAUCGCAGGCUGCAACCCGCCUGCGUGAAGUUGGAAUCGCUAGUAAUCGCGGAUCAGCAUGCCGCGGUGAAUACGUUCCCGGGCCUUGUACACACCGCCCGUCACACCAUGAGAGUCGGGAACACCCGAAGUCCGUAGCCUAACCGCAAGGGGGGCGCGGCCGAAGGUGGGUUCGAUAAUUGGGGUGAAGUCGUAACAAGGUAGCCGUAUCGGAAGGUGCGGUUGGAUCACCUC